AUGCGCCAAGCUCGGAAUCAAGCUCUUGUUCUCAUCCGCAUACCAUCCUCAAACCGACGGCCAAACAGAGGUGACGAACCGGACAAUCCCACUGUACUUUGCGUGUUGAUCAAGAAGAACAUCAAGGAGUGGGAAGCAUGUCUGCCCAUCGCCGAGUACGCCUACAACCGUGCAAGACAUUCGACUACCGGCAAGUCGCCGUUCAAGGUCGUCUACGGCUUCAACCCGUUGUCACCAUUGGACAUUCUACCUCUUCCUCUACAAGAGCGCACCAACAUGGAUGCAAGUGCACGGGCAAGCUACAUCAAGAAGAUGCAUGAGGAUACAAGGCACACCAUCGAGCGCCAAGUACAACGACUAGCGACCAAGCUCAACGUCAACAAGCAACCCAUGAUCUUCAACAUUGGCGAUCUUGUGUGGCUACACCUUCGCAAGGACCGCUUCCCCAACGAACGCAAGUCCAAACUUCCCCCUCGAGCCGAUGGGCCCUUCAAGGUGCUAGCACGCUUCAACGACAAUGCCUACAAGAUAGACCUCCCAUGA
rnacentral:rRNA from 1 species